CCUACGGGUGGCAGCAGUGGGGAAUAUUGCACAAUGGGGGAAACCCUGAUGCAGCGACGCCGCGUGAGUGAAGAAGUAUCUCGGUACGUAAAGCUCUAUCAGCAGGGAAGAAAAUGACGGUACCUGACUAAGAAGCCCCGGCUAACUACGUGCCAGCAGCCGCGGUAAUACGUAGGGGGCGAGCGUUGUCCGGAAUGACUGGGCGUAAAGGGAGUGUAGGCGGCAUAUUAAGUUAUGUGUGAAAGCCCGCGGCUCAACCGCGGAAUUGCACAUAAAACUGGUAAGCUGGAGUGCAGGAGAGGUAAGUGGAAUUCCCGGUGUAGCGGUGGAAUGCGGAGAUAUCGGGAGGAACACCAGAGGCGAAGGCGACUUACUGGACUGUAACUGACGCUGAGGCUCGAAAGCGUGGGGAGCAAACAGGAUUAGAUACCCUUGUAGUC
rnacentral:rRNA from 1 species